UACAGAGGGUGCGAACGUUGUUCGGAAUUACUGGGCGUAAAGCGCAUGUAGGCGGAUCCAUAAGUCGGGCGUGAAAUCCCCAGGCUCAACCUGGGAACUGCGCUCGAAACUGUGGGUCUCGAGUGUCGGAGAGGAUGGCGGAAUUCCUGGUGUAGCGGUGAAAUGCGUAGAUAUUGGGAGGAACACCAGUGGCGAAGGCGGCUCACUGGACCGGAACUGACGCUGAGGCGCGAAAGCGUGGGGAGCAAACAGG
rnacentral:rRNA from 1 species